rnacentral:pre_miRNA from 1 species
UCUUAUGGAUGAGCAAAGAAAGUGGUUUUUGAAAAGGGAUCUGUUCCUGGUGAAGAUACUGUGAA